AGAACGAACGCUGGCGGCAUGCCUAACACAUGCAAGUCGAACGCUCUUGGGGCUUCGGUCUCAGGGGUGUGGCGCACGGGUGAGUAGCGCGUGGGAACCUGCCCUGUUGUGGGGGAUAACCGAGGGAAACUUCGGCUAAUACCGCAUAAGCCGGUUGUCUUGAAGGAGAUGGCCGGGAAAGAUUUAUCGCGACAGGAGGGGCCCGCGUCGGAUUAGCUAGUUGGUGGGGUAACGGCCCACCAAGGCGGUGAUCCGUAGCUGGUCUGAGAGGAUGAUCAGCCACACUGGGACUGAGACACGGCCCAGACUCCUACGGGAGGCAGCAGUGGGGAAUAUUGGACAAUGGGCGCAAGCCUGAUCCAGCAAUGCCGCGUGAGUGAUGAAGGCCUUAGGGUUGUAAAGCUCUUUCGCCCGCGACGAUGAUGACGGUAGCGGGAGAAGGAAGCCCCGGCUAACUCGCGCCAGCAGCCGC
rnacentral:rRNA from 1 species